UACGUAGGGUCCGAGCGUUGUCCGGAUUUAUUGGGCGUAAAGAGCUCGUAGGCGGUUCCGUAAGUCGGAUGUGAAAACUCGGGGCUCAACCCCGAGACGCCAUCCGAUACUGCGGUGACUUGAGUCUGGUAGGGGAACACGGAAUUCCUGGUGUAGCGGUGAAAUGCGCAGAUAUCAGGAGGAACACCAAUGGCGAAGGCAGCACUCUGGGACGUGACUGACGCUGAGACGCGAAAGCGUGGGGAGCAAACAGG
rnacentral:rRNA from 1 species